CCUACGGGGGACAGCAGUGGGGAAUAUUGGACAAUGGGGGAAACCCUGAUCCAGCGACGCCGCGUGAGUGAAGAAGUAUUUCGGUACGUAAAGCUCUAUCAGCAGGAAAGAAAAUGACGGUACCUGACUAAGAAGCCCCGGCUAACUACGUGCCAGCAGCCGCGGUAAUACGUAGGGGGCAAGCGUUAUCCGGAAUGACUGGGCGUAAAGGGUGCGUAGGUGGUUUGACAAGUUGGUAGCGUAACUCCGAGGCUCAACCUCGGCACUACUACCAAAACUGUCGGACUUGAGGGCAGGAGGGGCAAUUGGAAUUCCUAGUGUAGCGGUGGAAUGCGCAGAUAUUAGGAGGAACACCGGUGGCGAAGGCGAAUUGCUGGACUGUAACUGACACUGAGGCACGAAAGCGUGGGGAGCAAACAGGAUUAGAUACCCGGGUAGUC
rnacentral:rRNA from 1 species